rnacentral:lncRNA from 8 species
ACUGCUUCUACUGGGGAGUGUCGAUAUGGCCGACCAAUGGCUACAGUGGAAUACUCGUUUCUGAUUGGCUUGAAGAGCAUUCUAGAGCGUGCAUUAUGUAAAGGAUAAUCAAUGAGGGGCUAUGCGUUCUAUGGAAAAUAAUGAACGACGUGGAAGGUGUGUUCCAGAGAACGCAUAGAGCUCCAAGUUGAUUAUCCCUUUUGUACCAUGGCUAUAAAUGUGUUCAUUUGCCAGUAGAAAUUUGUUCAACAUCCACUGAAGUAGCUAGAAAGUUUAUACUACAUAGCUACAUUAGUUGCCAUGGUUACCAAGCAACCAUACUUCCUAGUCUAGCUAACCAAAUCAUCAGUCCUAGCUUGCCAGUUCGAUUGGGCACAGCAAGAGUUCAGUACGUUUCCACCAAUAGCAAGCGCUAGCGGGAGAAGACUGGGCUAGUUUUGAAGUUAAAGCCAGACAACUCAAUUGGUCAUCAUCUCAUGGUCCAUGGAGGCUGAUUACUCUGAUGUUGAUCCAAAGAUCAUUAUUGCCUUGUUGUACUUUAACAACGGUCAACUGGACAUCGAGCCCUCCUAUGAGGGCUGAGCAGAGUUGAACCAUGAUGUCCCUGGAGGGCAGAGCACCCUGCGCCAGGUGACCAUACAUGAGAACCAGCUGUGGCAGUGCAGGGUCCAGAUCCCUGGAGACGACAAGGGGAAGCUGUCCGCCAUAUACAAUUGGUGGUCCUGGUCCCUCUGUACCUGUAGGACAGUGCAGGGUGAAGCAGAGUACUGGACCAACAACACCCCCAGAGCAUUCCCACCUAGGACCACUGAAGGUUUCCGUGCAGUUCUCUCUUUUCAAUAUCUCUAUGGAGACUUCUGGUUUCUACAUCUGCAUGGCAACCAACCAGAAUCACUCUGCCAGCUCAAACUUUACUGUCAUGCCCCAUAAGUAUUCAGUAUACCUUUUUUUUUGUGAUCAAAUGUUUGUAUUAUUUUUAAUAAGGUACACAAAACAGGUACACAUGGACAGAAAAAGAAGUGACAAGACCGAGCAAGACAAACAGUUCCCUGCACCACGCCCCACCCACAGGACUUCCCCAAAUGUAGAUUAG